rnacentral:rRNA from 1 species
UACGUAGGGGGCGAGCGUUGUCCGGAUUUAUUGGGCGUAAAGAGCGUGUAGGCGGCCAGGUAGGUCUGCUGUGAAAACUACGAGGCUCAACCUCGAGACGUCGGCGGAAACCAUCAUGGGCUAGAGUCCGGAAGAGGAGAGUGGGAAGUUCCUGGUGGUAGCGGUGGAAAGUGACGCAGAUAUUAGGAGGAACAACCGGGUGGCCGCAAGGGCGGCC